UCCGUAGGUGAACCUGCGGAGGGAUCAUUACUGAGUGAGGGCCUUCGGGCUCGACCUCCAACCCUUUGUGAACACAACUUGUUGCUUCGGGGGCGACCCUGCCGUUUCGACGGCGAGCGCCCCCGGAGGCCUUCAAACACUGCAUCUUUGCGUCGGAGUUUAAGUAAAUUAAACAAAACUUUCAACAACGGAUCUCUUGGUUCUGGCAUCGAUGAAGAACGCAGCGAAAUGCGAUAAGUAAUGUGAAUUGCAGAAUUCAGUGAAUCAUCGAAUCUUUGAACGCACAUUGCGCCCCUUGGUAUUCCGAGGGGCAUGCCUGUUCGAGCGUCAUUUCACCACUCAAGCCUCGCUUGGUAUUGGGCGCCGCGGUGUUCCGCGCGCCUCAAAGUCUCCGGCUGAGCUGUCCGUCUCUAAGCGUUGUGAUUUCAUUAAUCGCUUCGGAGCGCGGGCGGUCGCGGCCGUUAAAUCUUUCACAAGGUUGACCUCGGAUCAGGUAGGGAUACCCGCUGAACUUAAGCAUAUCAAUA
rnacentral:rRNA from 2 species